CUAGCCGGGCGGCGCUGCGGCUCACUAGGGGCGCGCGUCCCGCUCUUCACCGGGCCUUCCGGCCGUGAGCGCGUUCGAACCGAUACCGCUCUGCGGAGCUCAAGUUCGACCUCGGUGUCGGAGACGAACAGACAGGUUUAGAACUCAAGCUUCGACCUGCGCCGGCUGAGCAGCUUUCUGACAGCCACUCCUGCCGCCGUCUUCGGGGAGGCCGUGCUCAGCGUCCUCAGGGGCCUGUCCUCUGCGUCCCCUCGCCUCCGCCUCUCGCUUUACUCGUUUAGGGUAAUUCCUAGUCCGGAUGAAGAUGCGGGCGCAAAGAGGCCCCGCAAGUCACCCAAGAGCGCGCAGCAAGUAAUCAGCAGUUGGAAUUUCUGCUGAGGGCUUAAGGCGCGGCAGCCUGUGGGACCCUCAUCCCAGCCCUCGGAUUGGACGGUCAUCCCGCGGCUGCGUCCUGUCCGUUCCAUGAAAAUGUCAGCGCUGCCUGGAACAGUGUGCUCUUCCCAUCCACCCAUCCGUUCAAUAAACGUUGGUUUGCACCUGCUCUGAGCCGGACACUCCACGAUGCAGGCUUAAAUACAAAGUCUGCAGCCUUAACAAGCUUAGUCCUUAGUUGGGAAGCUUGCGAUGGUGAGGUGUGCAAGCCCCAAGCAGGCCACCUGGAACAGCUGGAGAGCCUAGGAAGGCACCAGAAGGUGAUAUGGUAAUGCCCACACGGAACCCUGAUGGCAGGCUAACGUUCUUAGGAGAAGAUGGUGCUUUGCCAUGUCGCAGGUGCGGAAACUAAGGCCCUAAAGGAGGAUGGAGUUUGUCCAAAAUCACAAAUUGAGCAAAUGCCUUUCCAGGCCUAGACUGCAGGUCCAGCGUGCAGAGAAACUGGACCUGGCCGCAGAGUCAGGCAGUUCCUUCUGUUUCAGCAGAAGAUGAUGUAGCAGGCCAGGCUCCAAGGCGCAUGAAGGUCAAGCCUGCCUCUGCCUUCUCCACACCUUGAGAACACUGCUGAGUAUAGAGGGAGGCAGUCACUCAGGGACCCUGUGGAGCCACGCGCCCAUCAUGUUCUCCAGCCUCAGCUGAGCGCUCAGAGCAUAUCCUCAACUGAAUUUAAUAAUGGCCCAUCAAACAGUGCAGCAGUGGCAUGAGGACAGACACAGGCCUACGGAAUAAAGUAGAGCAUCCAGAAAUAAGCCUCAGCAUACGAGCAAGGGAGCCAAGACCAUUCGCAGGGGAAAGCUGAAACUGUAAUUAGGUUUUGGUGACUUUGGGCUUAGCAGAAGGGACUGUACUUGGGGCCUGUUGUGUUGUUUCUUAAUUUCCUCCUCCUGACCGGUUCUCAGCCUGAGAGAGGCGAUGGAAAUUUAAGGCCUUAGCGCUGCUCCCAGCCACCGCUCCGGAGCCCUUGCAGCUUCCCCUGAACCUCUGCGGUGCUCACAGCUCACGACGUCGGGUUCACAUUCUUUACCUCAGUAAUUCAUUCUUUUUCUGACGCUUCCGUCUCAGGGAGAUCAUUUGCUUGGUGGUUAGUGGCUGCGAACGUGCAUUUAAAGCUUUUGAGAGAAUACAAUGCACUAUGGAGAUUGUGAUGAUGAUUGUAAGCAAUAUAAUCCCCAGGGUCUGGGGUGCACUUCAGAGCCAUGACCCCCAAGAUCCAAACCAAUCACGCUCAAAGCCAGAGAAAG
ensembl:lncRNA